GACAUUGUACCACAAGGUUCCGUAUAACAAAGGGAAGGCUGGGAUUGAGUUUGGGGUUAAUUGCCCCAAACGUAGGAAUUAGGGGCCAAAAACAAGCAUUUUUCUAGUUUCCAGACAAUAACUUGUAAGUGUAUGGAUCUCUCUGAAAUUGUACUACAAGGUUCCAUAUCACAAAGGGAAAGCUGGGUUUGAGUUUGGGGGUAAUUGCCCUAAAUGUUUAGGAAUUUGGGGCCAAAAAGGGGCCAAAAAACAAGCAUUUUUCUAGUUUCCAGACAAUAACUUGUGUUCAAGUGUAUGGAUCUCUCUGAAAUUGUACUGCUAGGUACCAUACCACAAAGGGAAGGCUGGGAUUGAGUUUGGGGGUGAUGAAUCAUAAGGGGGUUCAAAAAAUUUGGGGGGGGGGAUUUUUUUUUCCUUUUUUUUCUUUAAAAUAUUCCAUUUUAAAUUGGUUAUUUCUGAUUUAUAUAUAAAAGCAAAUAACAAUGAUAUGGUUUGAAAAGGUAAAUUAAAUUUUUUUAAGUUCUUAGACCACAUUCAUUCUGUGUCGGAAACCUGUGCUGUGUCAAAUAUUUAAUUACAAUCCAAAUUCAGUGCUGUAUCAAGCUUGAAUGUUGUGUCCAUACUUGCCCCAACUGUUCAGGGUUCGACCUCUGCGGUCGUAUCAAGCUGCGCCCCAGCGGAGCAUUUUAUUGUUCAUUGUUGAAGGCCGUAUGGUGACCUAUAGUUGUUAACUUCUAUUUCAUUUAGUCUCUGGUGGAGUGUUGUCUCAUUGGCAAUUAUACCACUUUUAUUAGCUCACCUGGCCCACAGAGCCAAGUGAGCUUUUCUCAUCACUUGGCGUCCGUCGUUGUCGUCCGUUAACUUUUACAAAAAUCUUCUCCUCUGAAACUACAAGGCCAAAUUUAACCAAACUUGGCCACAAUCAUCAUUAGGGUAUCUAGUUUAAAAAAUGUGUCCGAUGACCCAGCUUUCCAACCAUCAUGGCCAACUUGGUUAAAAAUAGAACAUAGGGGUAAAAUGCAGUUUUUGGUUUAAAUCUCUGAAACUAAUAAAGCAUUUAGAGCAAAUCUGACAGGUGGCAAAAAUGUUCAUCAGAUUUAGAUUUAUCUGCCCUGAAAUUUUCAGACGAAUCCGACAACCCGUUGUUGGGUUGCUGCCCCUGAGUUAGUAAUUUUACAAAAAUUUUGCAGUUUUUUGUUAUUAUCUUAGAUAUCAUUAUAAUAUCUAAUAUCUAAUACUGUUAAUUAUGAUUUUAACCUUAUUUUACAUGAUUUCCAAAGCAUCAGUAAAUACAGGUGAGCGACACAGGCUCUUGAGAGCCUCUAGUUUUUAUAUGCUGUUGCAUUAAUAUCCAUAUGUUUAAUGGUUCGAUGAUUACAAAGAAUUUUUUAUGAUAGACCAUUGAUAUAUAGUAUGCUGUUGCAUUAGUAUCCAGGUUUCAUGGUUUGGUAUUUAUAAAAAGUCUUUAUGAUAGACCAUUGAUAUGUUAACGGCAAUAAGUAAAAUAAGGCAUUAAGCUUAAAUCUUAGGCAAUAAACUAACGCCUAGGCAUUGAGUUAUUGCCUGAAAUUUUCAGGCAUUAAGCUUAUUUCCUGAAAUCUGAUGAUGAUUAUUCAACCUAUUGCCAAAUAUCAUUUCAGGCAAUAAGUGAACUUUUGGGAUUUUUGCUUUAUAUUCAAUGUAAAUGUACAUUCGGUGAAAUAUUCUUGAUGUAAAGUUUAUUUUAUAUUAUAUUCCAAAUAUCAAUAUACAUUAAAUUAGCAGAUCUGCAAA